UUCCGGUUGAUCCCGCCGGAGAUAACUGUUAUCAGGAUUCGAUUUAUCCAUGCGAGGCGAGUAUCGCAAGACACGCCGUACUGCUGAGUAACACGUAGUUAACAUACUCUAAGCUGGGGAAUAAUCUUGGGAAACUGAGGCUAAUGCCCCAUAGGUUUUGGAUACUGGAGUGUUCCAAAAUUAAAGGAUUUAUCGGCUUAGAAUUGGACUGCGGGCCAUCAGGCUGUUGAGAGUGUAACGUACUCUCAAACCUAUAACGGCUAGGGGUUGUGAGAGCAGGAGCCUCCAGACGCUUUCUGAGACAUGAAGGCAGGGCCUACGGGUCGCAGCAGGAGCGAAAACUUUCCAAUGCGCGCAAGCGUGAGAGGGGAAUCUUGAGUGGUUAUGCAAUGCAUAAUCUUUUUUCUAGUCUAAACAACUAGGGGAAUAAGUGGUGGGCAAUACAGGUGCCAGCCGCCGCGGUAAUACCUGAGCCACAAAUGGUUAUCACGAUUAUUGGGUCUAGAGUGUCUGUAGCCGGCCUAAAAAGUUUCCGGUGAAAUAUGGCAGCUAACUGUCAUGCGAGCUGGAAAUACUAUUAGGCUUGGAAUUGGGAUAGGUCAAGGGUAUUUCCAUGUGUAGGGGUUAAAUCCUUUAAUCCAUGGGGGACCACCUGUUGCGAAGGCGCUUGACUGGGAACAAGUUCGACGGUGAGGGACGAAAGCUAGGGGAGCAAACGGGAUUAGAUA
rnacentral:rRNA from 1 species